CAGCAGCCGCGGGAAUACGAGGGGGGCAAGCGUUGUUCGGAAUUAUUGGGCGUAAAGGGUGCGUAGGCGGUCUGAUAAGUCUUAUGUGAAAUCUCUGGGCUCAACCCAGAGUCUGCAUGGGAAACUGUCAGGCUUGAGAAUGGGAGAGGUGAGUGGAAUUUCCGGUGUAGCGGUGAAAUGCGUAGAUAUCGGAAGGAACACCUGUGGCGAAAGCGGCUCACUGGACCAUUUCUGACGCUGAUGCACGAAAGCUAGGGGAGCAAACAGGAUUAGAGACCCCAGUAGUCCCUGUCUCUUAUAC
rnacentral:rRNA from 1 species